rnacentral:misc_RNA from 1 species
UAUAUUAGUGCUUGUGCACGAUAAUAUUUCGUUACAUUCGGUGUAUGUGUAAAAUCCUUCCGCCAGCCGAAACCGACGCAAGGCCAAAGGUUCACAAAUGGGAGUUGGAUGAAAGUCAUCAACGUGCACAUGCCACAGUGGCCAGCACAGAAAAUGACAUUUCAAAAUCACUAAUGAUCCUUCCGCAGGUUCACCUACGGAAA